CCUACGGGUGGCAGCAGUGAGGAAUAUUGGUCAAUGGGCGCGAGCCUGAACCAGCCAAGUAGCGUGAAGGAUGACUGCCCUACGGGUUGUAAACCUCUUUUGCCGGGGAGUAACGGGCGCCACGUGUGGCGCCACUGAGAGUACCUGGAGAAAAAGCAUCGGCUAACUCCGUGCCAGCAGCCGCGGUAAUACGGAGGAUGCGAGCGUUAUCCGGAUUUAUUGGGUGUAAAGGGUGCGUAGACGGAGAAGCAAGUUAGUUGUGAAAUCCCUCGGCUUAACUGAGGAACUGCAACUAAAACUACUUGCCUUGAGUACAGGAGAGGAAGGUGGAAUUCCUGGUGUAGCGGUGAAAUGCGUAGAUAUUAGGAGGAACACCAGUGGCGAAGGCGGAUUGCUGGACAGUAACUGACGCUGAGGCGCGAAAGCGUGGGGAGCAAACAGGAUUAGAUACCCCGGUAGUC
rnacentral:rRNA from 1 species